rnacentral:rRNA from 1 species
AGAGUUUGAUCCUGGCUCAGGAUGAACGCUGGCGGCGUGCCUAACACAUGCAAGUCGAGCGAGAUGUAUAUGGACGAAACUUCGGUCUAGGAAAUAUAUUGACAGCGGCGGACGGGUGAGUAACGCGUAGGCAACCUGCCCUUAACACAGGGAUAGCCUCGGGAAACCGGGAUUAAAACCUGAUAAUGCCAAAUAGUCACAUGGCUGUUUGGCCAAAGAUUUAUCGGUUAAGGAUGGGCCUGCGUCUGAUUAGUUUGUUGGUGGGGUAACGGCCUACCAAGACUACGAUCAGUAGCCGACCUGAGAGGGUGAUCGGCCACAUUGGAACUGAGACACGGUCCAGACUCCUACGGGAGGCAGCAGUGAGGAAUAUUGGGCAAUGCCCGCAAGGGUGACCCAGCAACGCCGCGUGGAGGAUGAAUGCCGUAAGGUUGUAAACUCCUGUGAGAAGGGAAGAAUAACUAAGAGAGUAAAAAGCUCUUAGAAUGACUGUACCUUCAGAGGAAGCCCCGGCUAACUACGUGCCAGCAGCCGCGGUAAUACGUAGGGGGCAAGCGUUGUCCGGAUUUACUGGGUGUAAAGGGCGCGUAGGCGGAUUGAUAAGUCAGAGGUGAAAUCCUGCAGCUUAACUGCAGAACUGCCUUUGAUACUGUCAAUCUUGAAUUCGGAAGAGAGAAACGGAAUUCCAGGUGUAGUGGUGAAAUACGUAGAUAUCUGGAAGAACACCAGUAGCGAAGGCGGUUUCUUGGUCCGUAAUUGACGCUGAGGCGCGAAAGCGUGGGUAGCGAACAGGAUUAGAUACCCUGGUAGUCC